ACUUUCAUUUAUUUAGUUACUUAAAACAAUAUUAUAUAAGUAAAAGAAUUGAAACUAGCCUAUAAGUAAGUACUGAAAAGGAAAAUUUCAUUAAUUCCAAAGAAUUUAGUUUUGUACCUUUUGUAUCAGGGUUUAUUUAAUUUUGACCGAUAUCGUCCAAUCCCGAAAUAGGGUGAUUUACUUUAAUUAAAAAUGACUGUUUCAUAAGUCUGUUAAAAAUUAAAGUCGUUGUAAAAAAUAUUUCGUACCUUUAUAUCUGGUUGGUAGAAUACUCCUUCAGGGUACUCCACAGGGAAAAUUUUCUAGGGGACGAGCUCUAGAAAAAGUUGUAUUAAAACCUCAUCAAUGAAACAAAUAGGCUUAAAAGUUGCCGGGGUGUAAUAACUAUUUUCAUUAAAGUAACAAUUUGAAAUUAAUCAACAUAAACUAGCCGGCGUUUAUUAUUAAAAUUUAGCAGUCAUAAUGAUAAAAUUAGUAGAAUUAAAAAAGAUAGUAGAAUCUAUUCUAGAAAGAUUGGAAGGAAUUCGGCAAAACUUGCCUCCGCCUGUUUAACAAAAACAUCGCUUCCUAAUUCUAGGAGGUCGGGCCUGCCCACUGAUUAAUUAAAGGGCCGUGGUAUACUGACCAUGCGAAGGUAGCAUAAUCAUUAGCCUCUUGAUUGGGGGCUAGAAUGAAUGGUCUGACGAGAGGCAGCCUGUCUCCCUUACUAAAUUGAACUUAAUCUUUAAGUGAAAAAGCUUAAAUAUUCUUGGAGGACGAUAAGACCCUAUAGAUCUUCACAUUCAUCUCUUUUACCUAACGGUAGGUAAACGGGCAAAAGAAAAGAAUGUUUGGUUGGGGCGACAAUAAGAGUAGAAUAAACACUUAAGAAUAUGUGCACACAAAUAAGUGACCACUGAUCCUUAGAUGAAUAUAGAACAAGUUACCUUAGGGAUAACAGCGUAAUUCUUUUUGAGAGUCCAAAUCGACAAAAGAGUUUGCGACCUCGAUGUUGGUUCAGGGACCCUAUUUGGUGCAGCAGCUUAGUUAGGUAGUCUGUUCGACUAUUAAAUCCCUACGUGAUCUGAGUUCAGACCGGCGUAAGCCAGGUUAGUUUCUACCCCCAAGACAAAUCCAACCGGGAUAGUACGAAAGGACCUCUCGGGGUUU
rnacentral:rRNA from 1 species